rnacentral:rRNA from 1 species
AGGACGAACGCUGGCGGCGCGCUUAACGACAUGCAAGUCGAGCGAGAACCGGUCCUUCGGGACCGGGGAAAGCGGCGAACGGGUGAGUAACACGUGGGUAAUCAACCCUCGGUACCGGGAUAGCCCGAGGAAACUCGGAUUAAUACCGGAUGGCCCAACAGCCUUUCGGGGCGGUUGGAAAAGGUAGCUUCGGCCUCCGACCGAGGACGAGCCCGCGGCGGAUUAGCUUGUUGGUGGGGUAACGGCCCACCAAGGCGACGAUCCGUAGCUGGUCUGAGAGGACGAUCAGCCACACUGGGACUGAGACACGGCCCAGACUCCUACGGGAGGCAGCAGUGGGGAAUCUUGCACAAUGGGCGAAAGCCUGAUGCAGCGACGCCGCGUGAGGGAAGAAGGCUUUCGGGUUGUAAAACCUCUUUCAGGAGGGACGAAGCUACUCGGGUUAAUAGCCCAGAGGGUGACGGUACCUCCAGAAGAAGCCCCGGCUAACUACGCGCCAGCAGCCGC